rnacentral:rRNA from 1 species
ACUCUCUGAUGGCGACCCGUUCAAGGGUGCGUAACGCGUGAGCAACUUGCCCUCAUCAGGGGAAUAAUCGCUGGAAACGGCGUCUAAUGCCCCAUGGUGAUGUCCUCAGGCAUCUGAGGUCAUCUAAAGAUCCGUCGGAUGGGGAUAGGCUCGCGUGACAUUAGCUAGACGGCGGGGUAACGGCCCACCGUGGCGACGAUGUCUAGGGGUUCUGAGAGGAAGGUCCCCCACACUGGAACUGAGACACGGUCCAGACUCCUACGGGAGGCAGCAGUGAGGAAUAUUGGUCAAUGGCCGGAAGGCUGAACCAGCCAUGCCGCGUGAAGGUCAGUGCCCUAUGGGCGUUAAACUUCUUUUGUGCGGGAGCAAUAAUGGUCACGCGUGGCCCGAUGAGAGUACCGCACGAAUAAGCAUCGGCUAACUCCGUGCCAGCAGCCGCGGUAAUACGGGGGAUGCGAGCGUUAUCCGGAUUUAUUGGGUUUAAAGGGUGCGUAGGCGGCGCUUCAGGUCAGCGGUGAAAUACCGGGGCUCAACCCCGGGGCUGCCGUUGAAACCGGAGCGCUAGAAUUCCGAUGCCGUCAGAGGAAUGUGUGGUGUAGCGGUGAAAUGCAUAGAUAUCACACAGAACACCGAUUGC